CGGAGGGGCUGCGGCGCCGUGGCGCCGUCCGCCGGGUGGAGGAGCGCGGGGCUGGCGGGAGGGAGCCAGCAGGCGGUGGGUCCGGUCCCGGUUGCGCCCGGCAGCUUUCACACAGAUGGGGAGGUGGGUGAAGUCUGCCAUCGAGCCAGCACCCCAGGGAUGCCUGUGGACCCACCCAAGGCAGCACCAGUGAGGAUCCUUCCAUGCCAUGGUGGACUCCAGAGGUGUAGGAACCCCCUUGGAUGUUACAGAAACAUGAUCAGAGCCCUCUCCACAUGUGGAAUUCUCCCUGAAGGUCUCAAAAGCUGA
rnacentral:lncRNA from 1 species